CAGGCAACAAAUGAAGUGAUAGUGGGAGGAUCAAUGCUUCUAGCAGGUGUGCGACUGACUUGAGAGGCUCACCGCUGCAAGACGAGAGAGGAGAUCCUACAUCCUUCCACACGCAGAAACAGGAUGGAGGAGAGCCCUGUAUCUCUAACACACUAGAUCCUUCACUGUUCCGGCCUUCACUGCCUCGCACCGGCCCUGCGUUCCUCAAGGUACAGUAUCACAAAACUCCUGCGUGCCUGCAUGCUGAGCGUCCUUCCAUCCUGCCAGUGCUUGACUUCUGCUUGCUGAGUCUGUCUCACCUCUUCUGACCCAUCUGCUCCAUUACUGUGAGCCUGUAUAGAACUAAUACUGAUUUGCAUGAGGCCAUUGUUUGGAGACAUGAUGAUCAAGGACUUUUCUGUUUAUUAUUAAUACAAAUGAUUGACAUGCCAUGCAGUUAAAUGAGAGUGAUGUAAUUAAAUGCCAGAUGCUAUUAAUUAACAAAUGUCAGGCCGGUUUCUCAGUCACACCCCUUAUUCCAUGAGACAAACUAAUGACUGUCAAAAUAGCAUUGAUUAGGAAAGGUCAUUUAUCCACUGACAGUGGCUUAUUGCUCCGGGGAUUUAGCAUGCUGCUCUUGUGACCCUUAAAGGAACAGUUCUAACAAGUUCUAACAAAAUGAUUUUUUUUACUCACCCUUAUGUUGUUUCCAACCUGAAUGGCAUUGAACACAAUGGAGAGAUUUUAAAGAAUGUACUAUUUUUCAUGCAAUUACAAUGAUUGGGGGGC
ensembl:lncRNA